rnacentral:rRNA from 1 species
AACGAACGCUGGCGGCAUGCCUAACACAUGCAAGUCGAACGAGACCUUCGGGUCUAGUGGCGCACGGGUGCGUAACGCGUGGGAACCUGCCCUUAGGUUCGGAAUAACUCCCCGAAAGGGGUGCUAAUACCGGAUAAUGUCCUCGGACCAAAGAUUUAUCGCCUUUGGAUGGGCCCGCGUUGGAUUAGCUAGUUGGUAGGGUAAAAGCCUACCAAGGCGACGAUCCUUAGCUGGUCUGAGAGGAUGAUCAGCCACACUGGGACUGAGACACGGCCCAGACUCCUACGGGAGGCAGCAGUGGGGAAUAUUGGACAAUGGGCGAAAGCCUGAUCCAGCAAUGCCGCGUGAGUGAUGAAGGCCUUAGGGUUGUAAAGCUCUUUUGCCCGGGAUGAUAAUGACAGUACCGGGAGAAUAAGCUCCGGCUAACUCCGUG